GUUGAACGCUAGCGGGAUGCUUUACACAUGCAAGUCGAACGAGUGGCGGACGGGUGAGUAAUACAUCGUAACGUUCCCAGUAGCGGGGGAUAACUACUCGGAAGAGUCGCUAAUACCCCAUACUAUUGGAGUGGCCGAUGUCGGAUGAGCGAGUUGGGGGGGUAAAGGCUCACCAGGGCAACGACGCGUAGCUGGUCUGAGAGGACGACCAGCCACACUGGGACUGAGACACGGCCCAGACUCCUACGGGAGGCAGCAGUGGGGAAUUUUGGACAAUGGGGGAAAGCCUGAUCCAGCCAUCCCGCGUGUAUGAGAAGGCCUUCGGGUUGUAAAGUACUUUUGGCCGGGAAGCGGUAUCUGCAGAAUAAGCACCGGCUAACUACGUGCCAGCAGCCGCGGUAAUUC
rnacentral:rRNA from 1 species